ACAUUUUUUUAAAAUGUGAACAUGUGCCAAUCCCAUAGGUAUGAAACCCAUUUGAGUGAGAGUAGUACUAGGAUGGGUGACCUCCUAGGAAGUCCUCGUGAAAGGGUUUC
rnacentral:rRNA from 1 species